UGACGUUCUCAGGGCGGGGUGAAAUUCCCCACCGGCGGUAAUUGCUCCUCUGGAGCAUCAGCCCGCGAGCGCCUCUUUCGAUCGCAGGACAGUUCUUGCCGAAGAAGAGGGUCAGCAGAUCCGGUGUGAUUCCGGAGCCGACGGUAUAGUCCGGAUGGAAGAGAACAGGC
rnacentral:ncRNA from 1 species